rnacentral:lncRNA from 1 species
GCUUCCUCUGAGACCCUGAGAUCCUAGUGUGACCAAGCUCCUGUUAUCCGAGGAUCCUUAAGUCCUAGGAUCUUGGCCAUGUUACAGCACCUGGAAAGUGGUGUCUCCUCUGGGGACCAUGGGGCUCUCUGAUGUGUUUGAAACCAAGGUAUACCAGCACCGAUCAGAAGUAAUCUGAGCAUCUGGUCAGACAGGGCUCCUGUGUCCUUGCUCCUGCUGUCACAGGCCUGUCACAAUUGGUUUGGAACAGAUGUUGUGUUCCACUCACCAGUGAUCCUAAGAUCCUGGGUGUGCUAGGGUGCCUGUGGCAUGGAGAGCCCUCUGGGGACCGUGGGACCAUCUGCAAGGCAUACUUAUUAAUAUCUAUUUAGAGAACUAAGUUUCCAAGUCUAUCAGCCCCCAGUAAAAUGGGAAGAUCAGUCUUACCUAAAAGUCCUGGAGCCUGUGAGUUUUGCUGUAUGGAAACAGAGAUUAAGGUAGGGAGGGGAGACAUCUAUGCUCUUCCUACUGUGAUCAGACUGUAAAACUAGGCUUUAGAUAAGUAUUUGGUUAUUUUUCUUCCUGGAAAGAAUGACAUUCUGUUUUUAGUUUGUUUUUGUCUUUCAGGUUUUCUUUUUGAUUUGUUAUUUUCUUAGGUUUGUUUAUUUUUUCUCCAGCCCUGUUAAAAACACUGACAUUCUUUUCUUUGAAGGAAAACUCCCAUAUACAACUAAAAGCAGUAUUUCUCACGUUUUAGGUUCAUUUCCUAACCUACAUAAAAUGAU